rnacentral:rRNA from 1 species
AGAGUUUGAUCCUGGCUCAGGAUGAACGCUAGCGGGAGGCUUAAUACAUGCAAGUCGAACGGUAACAUGAGAGCUUGCUCUUGAUGACGAGUGGCGCACGGGUGAGUAACGCGUACGCGACCUGCCCUUAAUUGGGGAAUAGCCCUGGGAAACUGGGAUUAAUGCCCCAUAGUAUAUGUAUUGUAGGGAUACAUAUUAAAGGAUUUGAUCUGAUUAAGGAUGGGCGUGCGUGCUAUUAGCUAGUUGGUAAGGUAACGGCUUACCAAGGCGAUGAUAGCUAGGGGGCGUGAGAGCGUGAUCCCCCACACGGGUACUGAGACACGGACCCGACUCCUACGGGAGGCAGCAGUAAGGAAUAUUGGACAAUGCCCGCAAGGGUGAUCCAGCCAUCCCGCGUGCAGGAAGACGGCCCUAUGGGUUGUAAACUGCUUUUAUUAGGGAAGAACGACCUUCAUUAAUGAGGGUGUGACGGUACCUAAAGAAUAAGCACCGGCUAACUCCGUGCCAGCAGCCGCGGUAAUACGGGAGUGGCAAGCGUUAUCCGGAAUUAUUGGGCGUAAAGCGUCCGCAGGCGGCCCUUCAAGUCUGCUGUUAAAAAGUGGAGCUUAACUCCAUCGUGGCAGUGGAAACUGUUGGGCUAGAGUGUGGUAGGGGCAGAGGGAAUUCCCGGUGUAGCGGUGAAAUGCGUAGAUAUCGGGAAGAACACCAGUGGCGAAGGCGCUCUGCUGGGCCAUAACUGACGCUCAUGGACGAAAGCCAGGGGAGCGAAAGGGAUUAGAUACCCCUGUAGUCCUGGCCGUAAACGAUGAACACUAGGUGUCGGGGGAAUCGACCCCCUCGGUGUCGUAGCCAACGCGUUAAGUGUUCCGCCUGGGGAGUACGCACGCAAGUGUGAAACUCAAAGGAAUUGACGGGGGCCCGCACAAGCGGUGGAGUAUGUGGUUUAAUUCGAUGCAACGCGAAGAACCUUACCAGGGUUUGACAUCCUGCGAAUCUCCUGGAAACGGGAGAGUGCCUUCGGGAACGCAGUGACAGGUGGUGCAUGGCUGUCGUCAGCUCGUGUCGUGAGAUGUUGGGUUAAGUCCCGCAACGAGCGCAACCCACGUCUUUAGUUGCCGGCAUUCAGUUGGGCACUCUAGAGAGACCGCCGGUGAUAAACCGGAGGAAGGUGUGGAUGACGUCAAGUCAUCAUGCCCCUUACAUCCUGGGCUACACACGUACUACAAUGCUACGGACAAAGGGCAGCAAACUCGCGAGAGCUAGCAAAUCCCAUAAACCGUGGCUCAGUUCAGAUCGUAGGCUGCAACUCGCCUACGUGAAGGAGGAAUCGCUAGUAAUCGCAGGUCAGCAUACUGCGGUGAAUACGUUCCCGGGCCUUGCACACACCGCCCGU